rnacentral:rRNA from 1 species
UACGUAGGGGGCAAGCGUUGUCCGGAUUUAUUGGGCGUAAAGAGCGUGUAGGCGGCUAGGUAGGUCCGUUGUGAAAACUCGAGGCUCAACCUCGAGACGCCGGUGGAAACCAUCUAGCUAGAGUCCGGAAGAGGAGAGUGGAAUUCCUGGUGUAGCGGUGAAAUGCGCAGAUAUCAGGAAGAACACCUAUGGCGAAAGCAGCUCUCUGGGACGGUACUGACGCUGAGACGCGAAAGCGUGGGGAGCGAACAGG